CGUUUCAAGAAUUACAGAAAAUCCUGAGUUGAUAGGGGCCCACCAGGAUCACUGAUUCCAACUUCUGGCCAUGCACAGGGCACCCCAACAAUCACACCAUGUGCCUGAGAGCAUUGUCCAAAUGCUUCUUGAACUCAAGACAGGUUUGGUGCUGUGACCGC